rnacentral:rRNA from 1 species
GACGAACGCUGGCGGCGUGCUUAACACAUGCAAGUCGAGCGGUAAGGCCCUUUCGGGGGUACACGAGAGGCGAACGGGUGAGUAACACGUGGGUGACCUGCCCUCAGCUCUGGGAUAAGCCUGGGAAACCGGGUCUAAUACUGGAUAUGACUCCAUGACGCAUGUUGUGGGGUGGAAAGCCUUGUGCGGCUGAGGAUGGGCCCGCGGCCUAUCAGCUUGUUGGUGGGGGGAUGGCCUACCAAGGCGACGACGGGUAGCCGGCCUGAGAGGGCGACCGGGCCACACUGGGACUGAGACACGGCCCAGACUCCUACGGGAGGCAGCAGUGGGGAAUCUUGCGCAAUGGGCGAAAGCCUGACGCAGCGACGCCGCGUGAGGGAUGACGGCCU